AUUUGUCUUUCUCUGUCUGACUUACUUCACUGAGUAUGAUCAUCUCUGGGUCCACCCAUGUUGCUGCCAAUGGCAUGAUUUCAUUCUUUUUCAUGGCUGAGUAAUAUUCCACUGUGUGUAUAGGUACCACAUCUUCUUUAUCCAUUCCUCUGUUGAUAGGCACUUAGGUUGCUUCCACGUCUCAGCUGUUGUAAACAGUCUGUAACAGGGUCUCCAGAAGGACUCCCAGGGAACAUGGCAUGGGGUAAAAGUCAAGUCAGCUCUCAGCCAGGCACAACCGCACAGCCAGGGGCACUCAGGGGUGAGUCCAUGAUUUAAAACUAAAGCUGUGGAAGGUAGUUUUCAGGGCGGUGGGAGGGUCGUCUGUGGGUCCGGCUGUGCCACUCCGUCUCCUUGGGAUUCCAUUUGGAUGUGUGUCCUCACCUGUGGUUCAGUUGUACAGGUUUUCCUUUAGAAACUGUGCCUGCAGAUUCCAGAUGUGGUGACAGGCAAUGCUGCUUCUCAGGCACCUGUGGGAUCCGGACGCUGCUGGCGGCCCCUCGGUGUGCGCCUGCCCUUCCCACAGGGCUGCCCCACCUGUCACGGCCAUCGGCUGGACCCCAGUGGCCGUGUCGAGAGUGCUCACGGCUGGUGGGCAGGACUCUGCUUUACAUCAUCGCCCACCACCUGCCUCUGCUUUACAUCGCCCACCACCUGCCUCUGCUUUACAUCGCCCACCACCUGCCUCUGCUGGAUGCCCGCCCGGAUGGUGGGAACACAUUGCACACUGGGAAAAAGGAGAACAAUUUAUGCAGGAAAUUGCAGUUCCCUGAAGAUCCGGGUAACCCCAUGGAAGUGUACCCCAGAAAGGCCACUCACCCUGGCUUGUGUUAGGGUGAGACAAAGGUGUGAGACCCACUUCCUCAGCCACAGAAAUCAAUUCCCAACGUCUGGAUUUCAGAUUCCACAGAUAAGUGAGACCCUACAGUGUUUGCCUUUCUCCAUCUGACGUACUUCACUUUGGAGGGAGCGACAGGUUUUGGAGCUUCCAUAAAGGCUGCUUCCCUUCAGACUAAAGACGUUGAAGGCCACGUAUCACUUUCCUUAAGACUCCUCCUCAGGACCCCAUCGCUGGAGACCGGCUGGACGCUGUCGUGUCACAGUGAGUUAGAUCCCACCUCUGCUCCACAGAGCCCACCUUCAAGGGGAGGGGGCACCAAAAUCAGACAAACAUCACAACCUAAUUUCAAACGCUCAUCCGUAUUAAGAAACACACCCUAAGGACAGGAGGAAAUGAAAAGGCGCUUGUAGGACCCUGUGAUAGGAAACGGGAGAUGCUCCGUGGACAGACAGUACAUCACCUUCGUCAUCAUGUCCAUCCCCGGGGGUCCGUCCACGCGGCUUUUCGUGCUUCUCGAAGCCCUUCCCUGAUGACCCUGUGCCUCCCUGCGGUGCUUGGUGAGGGGGACAUCCAUCCUCACGGACACUGAGCCAGCCUGCAGGUCUGAAGCUCAUUCUCAGCUUUCCACACCCGCGGAUGAGCUGAGCUUCCUCGUGGAAAAGAGAAGAAAAGGAAGGGACACUUCUCGGCACCAACUUCCCCCAAAUCCUGGAUCUCCAGGUCUGCAACCUCAGCAAGUACCCUCUGAACUACCCUGACCCCCACGGGCUGAGUAAUGACACAUGGCCCCAGGGAGGGAGGGGCCAGUUGCUAAGUAGACCUUACAUCCUGUGGGGACAGCCCUGAUGAGUCUUGCCAUCCUUACCCGGUUCCCUCUGGGUCCAGAAACAGUCGUGACAAACCUGCACAUUGCUGAGCCCCGGGCGUCUGCACUUCUGUUCAUUCCAGAUCCCUUCCUGUUCUAGAAUUCAGAAUCUGAUCAUAAAUCCACCAUCCCUUAUUUGGUCGGACCGGUAGAGCCAUAAUAACCCCACUUAACUGUUUUUCCCCUGGGGUCCAUUUUUAGGUCAUCCCCAUCCUGUGAUCUGCAUCAGUGUUCUCUACAAUCUCGGGUUUUCCGAGGAAUGACUCGUAAGCAGCAUCUUGGGAAAUCCACCCCCAAUAAUGCCCUCCCAGGAACAGUUACCGUGGGUCCAAAGAGCUGGUUUCUCCUGGGGUCCAUAUUUACGUCGGGAUAACACAGGCGUCCCGUCCGUUCUGUGGUUGUGAGAUGUUGUCAGGAAGGGUGGACCACAUACGCUGACCUGUGACACAUUGUUUCCUUGGUGGCGUUUCUUCUAGUUACGAUUUCACGUCCCUAGUGACUCAUCAGGAUCCCAGACAUCUCGUGACAAAAAUCUCAGGCAAUCAGAGAGAAGGAAAGGUUUGUGAUGGACACUGCUGAAUCCUUGACGUAUUAAAGGCUGUCGGCGCUGCCCUGACAUCCUCGAGUGGCACUGCUUCCUGCGUUCGAGUCCCUUGGUUCUUUCAAGAAAAUAUCAGAGAAUCCAUAUCAGACAGUGUCAUUGCUGGAUUUUUCUACCCCCGAACAUUUGAGACGGUGAUUAUAGGCAUUAGAAUAUAAUAAGAUGGGCACUUAACAGGUAGGUCAUGACACUAAUCAUCUAAUUAUUUUGCCUUAUUAACUCAUGUCCUUGAUUAGCAACUGACCAGGCUUGGCUGUGAUGGCUGUUUUUCAGUGAUACCAGGAGACAGAUGGUCUGUUCAAAGAAGGUAAUGGCUUUACACUAUUUUUCAGAGGUUCCCCAAUAGAAAUCACUUGAUGUCUCCAUCAAACGGCUGCAGCAUUUACUUAGCUGACUCAGAUUCCCCUGGGAAGCGGUCUGCUCCUCUCCUGGAGAUUCAGGAUACAGGAACCGGCAGAUCCUCACUAUGUCGGUGACAAUGACACAAAUCUGGAUUAACUUUCUGAGCUGCCAGUUGCGUCACAGGUCCCAUCUCCAUCACUAACCACCUUCCAGGCAACCUCCCAAAACUGGGUGCACAUGCCACUAUCGUACACAGGCACCCACACAUAGAGACACACCUGCACGCACACAGACGAGAUUCAGACGGAAACACAUAAAGACACAUACAUGUACAGACUCAGACACAUGCAAACACGCACAGAGGGACUCCCAUGUACACACACAGUGCCUGAGUUCUGUAGAAUCCAGAAAACAACAUCUUGCCUUCUAUUUACCCACGUUCAAAAACUAAAGAUUUCUUUAUACCCUCCCAUUUUUUAAAUGAAAAUACAG